GCCUGGGUGGCUUAGUCAGUUAAGCAUCCGACUUCAGCUCAGGCCAUGAUCUCAUGGUUCGUGAGUUCGAGCCCCACAUCGGGCU
rnacentral:tRNA from 1 species